AUGAACGCUGGCGGCGUGCCUAAUACAUGCAAGGCGAGCGAACAGAUGAGGAGCUUGCUCCUCUGACGUUAGCGGCGGACGGGUGAGUAACCCGUGGAUAACCUACCUAUAAGACUGGGAUAACUUCGGGAAACCGGAGCUAAUACCGGAUAAUAUAUUGAACCGCAUGGUUCAAUAGUGAAAGACGGUUUUGCUGGCACUUAUAGAUGGAUCCGCGCCGCAUUAGCUAGUUGGUAAGGUAACGGCUUACCAAGGGAACGAUGCGUAGCCGACCUGAGAGGGUGGUCGGCCACACUGGAACUGAGACGCGGUCCAGACUCCUACGGGAGGCAGCAGUGGGGAAUCUUCCGCAAAGGGCGAAAGCCUGACGGAGCAACGCCGCGUGAGUGAUGAAGGUCUUCGGAUCGUAAAACUCUGUUAUUAGGGAAGAACAAAUGUGUAAGUAACUAUGCACGUCUUGACGGUACCUAAUCAGAAAGCCACGGCUAACUACGUG
rnacentral:rRNA from 1 species